GCCUUGUGUGGGUUGUCCUUCGAUUCGUACCCGGCAUCGCCGUUCUUCAAUUCAAACACCUAAUGCACCUGGCCGUAAUCGUUUACAGUUCCACCAGCGCAAUCCCGUUAGAAGACGUCCGCACAGAAUGUUCACCAGAUUCCAGAAAAGGCUUGUGACCAGGGUGGCUCCGCGGAAACAUACUUACGGUGUGGCCGUGGCCGUGUGGGUGUCCUAAUCGUUUCAGUAGUUUCAGUGCUCCGUUGGGAUUAAGCUCCUCCUCGAUGACGAAAGGUACGGAACCGUGGCUGACGACAUUUUUCCUCCGGAAAACUUAAAUUAUUAAAAUGUUUCUAUUUUAUAAAAAAAAUGUCUACAUCGCGAUUCUGUUUUUUACGAUUCA